CAUUUUUCACUUUUUCAAGUCAUCAAAGCGAUUACCUAAUACGGAGCGAAACCACGGGCUCUUCCACGAUAUCCUCCUCUGCCACGACCCCGUCCACGUCCACGUCCGCGACCACGACCACGGCUCAUACCAGGAACGUUUGUCCGCUUGGGUGUAACCUACAUUUCAAGUUAGAAUGCAUGUUGCUGGUAGUUACUGUGAUUGUUUUACAUACCUUUAAAGGUCGUUCAUGCAACAUCGAUCCAUUUAAUAAAAGAGCAUUAGGCACUAAGCUUGGUUCACUGAACUCGAUGUAUGCAAAUCUACGAAACUAGGUUAGCUGUACAUUCCAACGUCAUCCACAAGUUCGAUUCAUACCCUUUUGGAUGUCCCGUAAACUUGUCACACAAAAUGGUAACGCGAUUAACAGAUCCACAACUAGCAAAAUGACUUUGCAACUCCUCUGGAGUAACACUGUAAUCAACAUUUCCAACAUAGACACUUUGAGCAUCAAUGGAUUCCUUAUCGUUUCUCAAAGCUUCCGUUUCAUUAUCUAGUUGUUCUUGCAUGGCACGAAGCUUUGCAGCCUCUGCUUCCAUUUCAGCAACUCGCUCUUUCAUUUCCAAUAGUUCCUAAUCAUGUAAGCAAAUAAUUCCACCAUACUACACAGUCUGAAUUCCUACCUUUUCUUGGGUAUCUAAGGCAUCUUGAUCACUCAUUUUUUCAAAUUUUCUGCUACACGCGUGUGGUUGGAAGUAAACUGUUCAACCAGUAUUCUUUAGCAUGUUGAGGGUGACAAAAGUUUCCCUCUAUGCUCUCAGAGUAGCGACGCUUUGUUUCGCGCAAAUUUACAAUAGCGUAUGGCACGAUUAGAGACGGAAAAACCGAUUUCUGAAUGAAACAGCACAAUAUGGUGUAAUAUUUUCGUAUUCGUUAAUACGUACAAUAUGUGUUUAACGAGGAUUUGGACUGCCUGCUUAUAGUUCGGAUGCUUGGUUAAGAUGAGAGUGCUCACAAGUAAGUAAGGUGAGGUUUGUGGACAUUUUUGUAUGGCGUGUUUGGUUUUAUUGUAUUGCUAAAAUCACAAUUCAUAAGAAAGCGAUCUUUAAAAAACAAUUAAGGAGAUUGACGGGAUAUGCCGUUAAAUGUUUAGUUUUUGGACGUAACGAAUACCUAAGUUGCUUGAAGAGCUCUCCCACUUGAAGUGAAAUAAGUGGAAUCCUAAAGAAAUACGAUAAGACGUGAUAAAGUAUGGCAUAAUGUAGUUCUUUCAUGGAACUUCGAACUCAAUUAUUACACACUCUUCACCAUUGAUAUACGUAUCCAGGGUUGGUAUUAUCUUCAUUAGCUCGAUAGCCAAGGGUGAUGAAUUACAAAAAUAUAGAAAAGGGAUAUUUUUGAAUGGAAG